AAGAUGCUAGUAAAAUGCCAUUACAUUGCUUUGUCAAGGCAAAAAUGUGGGUUUGAGUCCCACGUAUCUUA
rnacentral:tRNA from 1 species